UACGGAGGGUGCAAGCGUUGUCCGGAUUUAUUGGGUUUAAAGGGUGCGUAGGUGGCCCUAUAAGUCAGUGGUGAAAGUCUGCAGCUUAACUGUAGAACUGCCAUUGAUACUGUAGGGCUUGAGUACUGAUGAGGUAGGCGGAAUUGAUAGUGUAGCGGUGAAAUGCAUAGAUAUUAUCAAGAACACCGAUUGCGAAGGCAGCUUACUAAGGAGUUACUGACACUGAGGCACGAAAGCGUGGGGAGCAAACAGG
rnacentral:rRNA from 1 species